AAAUUAAACUGGACGAGAAAUAGUUGGAAUCGUAUGGUACACCAUACGUAUGUAUCGAAGAGCAUGUGAUUCACGAUAUGAGUCAAGCCUGGAGAGGAGAGAAGGCGCGCCUGGAUCGCGCGUUUUCUAACUGGCCAUUUCGAACGCAACUUAAAAGAUCGGAAGGGGCUGACCGAGAUCGGUGUUCUGGAAUCUCGAUUUCUCGGUGCACUUACCUGUUCGAGCAUUUGUUAUCGGUACAACGUAGAGAUAAGUUGGAUAAUUAGGAUAGGUUUUCUUGACGAUUUGCGGAGAAAAGUUAUGUUAUUAGGAAUUCCCAUGUCAAGGCAUCGGGGAAUCAUCAAGGCGAGCACACAGGAACAAAUCUUAUCGACGUGUCGUAUCUUAUUUCGCGAGAUUCGUUCCAUCUUAUCGCAUUUAUCGGCUAUACAAAUCUGUUAAUUCCGCCGAUACGCGCGUGGAAUGCCUUCGUAUCAUCCCCCUUCGCGACCACCAAGCUUAGAAUCGGUGAUUCACUCUGACUCAGCGGUUCGUUUCGUCGUAUUUAAUGUCCUGGAAGCGGGGAAUGAUGCGCGGCAAAAGUACGAACGCCGCAGGUUGAUCAGUCACUAUAUUCUUCGCGUCAUGGAGCGAAAACUUCCGCGAACUUGCGCGGCUAUUCGACGUCUAAAUAAUAACCGAACGAGAAUCUGCUCGAUACAGAUUGGCGCAAGAGCAACGAAAGAAAACGGGAACAAGUCGAUGUUCUCCUUUGUUCUUGGCAAAGAUUUUUCACCCGGUGUUGCGUAACACGGAUCAUUGGAGACCGAAGCGACGCCAUUCUACUUAUAUGAUUUUAUGAUGGAGAAAAAAUUGGAAGAAAUUAUAGGAU